rnacentral:rRNA from 1 species
UACGUAGGGUGCGAGCGUUGUCCGGAAUUACUGGGCGUAAAGAGCUCGUAGGUGGUUUGUCGCGUUGUUCGUGAAAACUCACAGCUCAACUGUGGGCGUGCGGGCGAUACGGGCAGACUGGAGUACUGCAGGGGAGACUGGAAUUCCUGGUGUAGCGGUGGAAUGCGCAGAUAUCAGGAGGAACACCGGUGGCGAAGGCGGCAACCUGGCUCGUAACUGACGCUCAUACACGACAGCAUGGGGAGCGAACGGG